AGUAAAAUUUGCCAUUUUAAUACACCAUUGUAUAAAUGGGGCUCAUUAGAGGGACAGUUAACCCACUGCAGGUUUGACAUGAGCUCUACGAGGUGAUGCUUCAAGGGCUCACUGUAUAUGGGUUUUUGUGUAAUUCAUAGCCACUAACACAGUUCCUCUUUCCUUGCAGGAUUCAUGCCUGAACCCACAAUCCCAUUAUGGACCACACAUCCCUCUUUCCAAGGCCUCUGUUUGGAAGAAUCUUGAUAUCUUCAGAUGAAAUUGUCAAGCGAUUGGAACCAUCCAAACUUUAAGUGUUUCUAUGAGAUUUAUGUAUAUUGUUAACUUGCUUUGUUUUGUUCUGUUAUUUUUUCUAUAUUAAAAAUUUAUUCUGUAAUAAAAACAACAUUUCAGAUG